GAUGAAGAACGCAGCGAAAUGCGAUAAGUAAUGUGAAUUGCAGAAUUCAGUGAAUCAUCGAAUCUUUGAACGCACAUUGCGCCCCCUGGUAUUACGGGGGGCAUGCCUGUUCGAGCGUCAUUUCACCACUCAAGCCUCGCUUGGUAUUGGGCAACGCGGUCCGCCGCGUGCCUCAAAUCGACCGGCUGGGUCUUCUGUCCCCUAAGCGUUGUGGAAACUAUUCGCUAAAGGGUGUUCGGGAGGCUACGCCGUAAAACAACCCCAUUUCUAAGGUUGACCUCGGAUCAGGUAGGGAUACCCGCUGAACUUAAGCGUAUCAAUAAGCGGAGGA
rnacentral:misc_RNA from 1 species